rnacentral:lncRNA from 1 species
GGAUAGCAUCUUUAACAGAUUCAAUUAUGAAAACCCGUAAAUCCUCUGUUUUGCUCUGUUUUUAUAAGAUUACAUAAUGGAAUAGGCAAAGGAGUCAGAGUAUUGAUAGUACUGAGGAACUGCAUAAACAUAUUGAUUACUGCCCCUGUAAGGCCAUACUAAUUGCUGCACUUCUGCCUCCUCUUUCUUCUCUCCGCCAGCGCUCACGCUUAGAAUCUCUGAAUGCCCAACUUGCUUUCGUAGCAGACAAACAAGCUUUACAACAUCAAAUUCGUCUCCUACUACCUCUAUCUCACUCAUGUCUUGGCCUCCAAAUGCUGCGGAUUUUACGCCUGCAACUCCAACUGCAAUUUUCAUGGCUUUAGAACGAGACUUCUGGCUGCUCAUUGAACCCUUCAUCACUAUCUUUCGCUUCAUUAUCUUGGCCCGUAUGUACAUUGUAUUUUCGUUAUGGGAUUUUUGGUUAAUGGCGAAGCAAAGUAGAAGAGAAGAAGGUAUGGAAAUAAAUGUUUGUUUCUUUUCUUUGUGGGUUUCAAUUUGAAGUGAAAGUGCUCCUAUUUAUAGCUUUAUUAUAAUUAGUAUUUAAGAAUUUGUUUUAUAUUUUUUAAAAUACAUAUAGAGAAUGAACACGGAUAGACAUGUAACUUCCAAUUAUAAUAUUACCAUCCAGCUAAAAGGCCAAAACGACAAGGUGAUGACAUGUUGCCAUGUAACUGUUAUGGUGUGCCCACUUAAAUGGGAAAAAUAGGAGCGGCCAGUUCAACAACAAUGGCUUUGAAUUGCUACACAUGGGCGGUGAACGCAGUGUACGCAUUAGGCGGUUUUGAACGCGUUAGGCAGUAAAUGCGUUAAUUACGCGUCUCUUAUUCUCACACAACAGAUAAAAAAGAAAAACUGUAUCUAGGAAGGACUAAGAGGGAAAAAUAGUGAGGAAAUUAUUAUGGAGUGUUUUUGGAAAACACUUUAGUGCCACUAUUUUUGUAUUAUUCUCUUUGUAUACCUACUAUUUUUUAAUAGUGGAAGAAUGUUUUGAAAUUUUUCCCAUGAAUGUAUCCCAAAAGAGUUAAGGGUGAACCACGUUAAAUUUCUGUGUCACAAAUUUGAUUAUUCCGCUGCAUUAAUUUUCUCUUAGUUGGUUGUGAGAGCCCAACAAGUGGUAUCAUAGUUGAGGCCCAACAACUGGUAUCAGAGCUGAUGCCCAACAACUGGUAUCAGAGCCGAAUGUUUCGGCAGGUCUAGCCGGUUAGAUAGCGGUACCUGAUCCGUGGAUAUAUUUUGAAAAUAAAUAUACCACGACGAAGAGAAAAUUAUGACGAGUCCAUUGGUACUAUCCUCUCAGAAAGACGCUGCAGAAUCGACUUAGUGAUGAAUAGUAAAAUAGUAACUCAAAGUUGAUGGUGAACAGUACUAUUGGUUGCAGAGUCCGUUUCAAGUAAGCCCAGCACUAUUACACAUAGACUAUUCACGUGUACAGUCACUAUUUGAGUAUACUAUCACUAUUCAUGGUCACUAUUCAUGUAUACUACUGUUCACGUAUACGGUUUAUGUUGGUGAUGAUUUUCUGCGCAAGUCAAAAUGGACAANNNNNNNNNNNNNNNNNNNNNNNNNNNNNNNNNNNNNNNNNNNNNNNNNNNNNNNNNNNNNNNNNNNNNNNNNNNNNNNNNNNNNNNNNNNNNNNNNNNNNNNNNNNNNNNNNNNNNNNNNNNNNNNNNNNNNNNNNNNNNNNNNNNNNNNNCUCGGUUGGUAGAUUUGAUGAUGAAGGUUUCUGUAGCACCUUCAGAAAUGGUCAGUGGAAGCUCACAAAAGGUUCAUUUGUGGUAGCUAAAGACCGAAAGCUGUACGGGAUGCAUGCGGAACUCUUCUAAGACACUUUGAGUGUAGCAGAGAAUGACAGUACAUUUGAAUUGUGGCAUAAACGACUAUGCCACAUGAGAAAGACAAAUCUGGCAAGAAAGAACGUACUACCUAGAUUAGAUAAAGUUCACCUAGACAAGUGUCCUGAUCGCAUGGUGGGAAAGCAAAACAGAGUAGCUUUCGAGAUUAUCCCUCCUUCUAGAAUGAAGAAUGUAUUAAAUUUGAUUCAUUUAGAUUUGUGUAGACGAUUGAUAAUGUCAUAUUGUGGAAAUCGAUAUUUUGUGAUAUUUAUCGAUGACCAUCCUAGAAAGACUUAGGUAUACACAUUGAAGUCUUCUAAACUUGGUUGAGAGACAGACAGGCAAGAAGCUUCAGUGUAUCAGAACAGAUAAUGGUGGAGAAUACACUGGGCCAUUUAAUACUUUCUGCAAAGAGCAUGGCAUUCGACAUCAAACGACACCUCCCAAGACGCUACAACUGAACAGUUUGGCUGAGAGGAUGAACAGAACUUUGAUGGAGAGAGUCAGAUGUUUACUCUCACAUGCAAAAUUGUCUAAAAGAAUUUGGGGUGAAUCUUUACUCACAGCAGUUUAUCGUUCACCCUGUUUCCCUUUACAGUAUGAUACUCCAGAGAGAGUAUGGUCAGGAAAGGAUGCUUGCUAUGAUCAUUUGCGAGGGUUUGGUUGCAAAGCCUUCGUGCAUAUCUCGAAGAAUGAACGGUAUAAGCUUGAUGUCAAGACUAGACAGUGUGUAUUCAAUGGCUAUGACAAAGACCAAUUUGGCUAUAAGUUUUCUUACCCAAUCCAGAAGACGAUUAUAAGAAGUCGUGAAGCUGUAUUUGUUGAAGAUCAGACUAUUGAAGAUAUUAAAGCAGAGUGCCAAUAGAUCUGAUGAAGACUCAACAGACAUAUAGAGAUUCUCUCCAAUAGAACGUAAAUAAAUUGGAGAUGAAGAAAAUGUUCCACAAGAACAAGUGCCAGAGUUAGAAAAUCCAGAAGUUCCUAAUGAAAAUGAACCAGAUGAAGAUUAUGGUGUUCAUGUUCAGCCACUAGCACCGGAAGGUUCUCAAAAAUUAAGAAGAUCUAGUAGAGUCUGACAACCAUCAACUAGAUAUCCAGUCAAUGAGUAUGUACUGACGCCAGACAGGGGAGAACCUGAAAGCUUUGAAGAAGCUAUGGAAAAUGAACACAAGAGGAACUGGAUUGAAGCCAUGCAAGAUGAAAUGAAGUCCUUGCAUGAGGAUGAAACAUUUGAGCUGGUGAAGUUGCCCAAAGGCAAGAAAACUUUGAAGAACAAGUGGGUGUUCAAGAUCAUGUAGGAAGAACACAGCUACCAACCACGAUUCAAAGCUAGACUGGUUGUGAAAUGAUUAAAUCAGAGAAAGGGUAUUGAUUUUGAUUUUUUCACCAGUUGUGAAAAUGACAUCCAUUCGGACAAUGCUCGGAACGGCUGCCAGUCUUGAACUGGAAAUCGAGCACAUGGAUGUAAAGACUACCUUCCUAAAUGGAGAUUUGGAAGAAGAAAUAUAUUUGGAUCAGUCAGAGGGUUUCGAAGAAAUAGAUGAUUGUGUUUGCAAACUGAAGAAGAGCCUAUACGGCUUGAAGUAGGCACCGAGACAGUGGUACAAGAAGUUUGAGUCUAUUAUGGGGGAGCAAGGCUACAAAAAGACUACUUCAGAUCACUGCAUUUUUUAUGAAGAAAUUCUCUGAUGAUGACUACAUUGUUCUUUUGCUCAACAUGGAUGAUAUGUUGAUUGUUGGUCAGAAUUACUAGCUUGAAGAAAUAACUAUGUAAGUCUUUUGCUAUGAAAGACUUGGGAUCAGCAAAGCAAAUUCUUGGCAUGAAGAUCGAAGAGCCAAGAAAUCAUGGUUGUCACAAGAGAAGUACAUUAAGAGAGUACUUCAAAGGUUUAGAAUGAAAAACGCUAAAACAGUUAGUUGUCCUCUUACUAAUCACUUUAAAUUGAGUUCUAGAUAGUGCCCUUCUACGAAUGGAGAGAAGGAAGAAAUGGAAAAGAUUCCAUAUGCUUCAUCAGUUGGAAGCUUGAUGCAUGCCAUGGUUUGUACACGGCCAGAUAUUGCUCACUCAGUUGGAGUAGUAAGUCGGCUUCAUUCAAAUCCUGAAAAGGAACAUUGGACUGCAGUGAAAUGGAUUUUCAGGAUAUCCAAUCACAUCUGCAGGGGGAGUCAUGUCGUGGCAGUCAAGAUUACUGAAGCGUGCAAGGAGUUGCUGUGGAUGAAGAAAUUCUUGAAUGAACUCGAAAUUCAUCAAGAACGGUAUCAGAUAUUUUGUGAUAGUCGAAUCCUGUUGGUUAGCUACAGGGAUGAUGGAGAGUAUAGCUAAUGUUCCCACUUAAGUGUGCAGAGGGAGAAUUGUUAUGGUGUGCCCACUUAAGUGGGACCCACAUGUGUGAAAGUAAGAAAAAUAGGAGCAUUCAGUUCAACAAUGAUGGCUUUGAAUUGCUACACAUGGGUGGUGGACGUAGUGGACGCAUUAGGCGGUUUUGAACGUGUUAGGCAAUGAACGCGUUAAUUACGCGUCUCUCGUUCCCUAUAAAUAGAGGCAGCUGCAACGCACAAAACACACAGCAGACAAGAAAGAAAAAAUAUAUAGAGAGAGUUAUCUAGUUUUAGGAAGGGUUUCCUAAAAUUGGGAAGGAAAAAUAGUGAGGAAAUUAUUAUGGGGUGUUUUUGGAAAACACUUUAAGUGCCAUUAUUUUUGUAUUACUCUCUUUGUAUACCUACUAUUUUUUAAUAGCGGUAGAAUGAUUCGGAGUUUGUCUCGUGGACGUAUCCCUAAACAAUUAAGGGUGAACCACGUUAAAUUUCUGUGUCACAAUUUUGAUUAUUCCGCUGCAUUAAUUUUCUCUUAAUUGGUUGUGAGAGCCCAACAAGUGGUAUCAGAGCUGAAGUCCAACAACUGGUAUCAGAGCUGAUGCCCAACAGUAACUUCCAGGAACAUAUUCAAGCUCCAUCUAAUGGUUAGGGUGGGCACAGUCCUAUUGGGAAGGGCUCGGAGUAGAGAUGUGCAUUUUUGUUUGAAUCCCAGAACUGGAUUUGAAUUGAGUUCCUCUGACUCUAGUGAGGUAAAUGAGCCAAACUGCCCAUUUAAAUUUAAUAGACUAAGUUUCAGCUUUGGAAUUAAGGUCCGCGAAGCCUUAUUAUUAGCUGAUUCAUAAGCGUCACAUUCUGAAUAUUAGUUAUUUUAAUAGAUAUAGUUGUUUAAAUAGCCGUAAGUUUCUAAUAAGUAUGAGAUAAACAUUAAAGAGAUUAUUGUCACCUAACAGUCGAAAUAAUAGAAGUAAUAUUUUAAUCCUAGUUAAAAUGCUAAAUAUUACUUUACAAAUUAUUACCAAGCAGCUUCUAAAUAAGACUUUAAAGAAGUCUGUAUUCGAAUAUAAACUUAUAAAUGGGCUAUAAUAUUCGUUAACUAUAAAUUAUAAACAAGUAAAACACAAAUCAAAUUGAUUAGCAUAUUUGUAGCAUAACAUGAAAUCAUUUAUCUGAAAGUGUAUGAAUUAUUCUCCAACCAUAUUCUAUAUGAUUUAUUCUCUCACUCAUCUUAUUUAUUUAUUUUUUUGCUAAAUUUUUAGGGGAGUGAUUAUUAUAUAGUCUUUAGAUUUUUGUUAAAUACAAUAGGACUUCAAUUUUUAUUUUACUAUUUAGUCUCUACAUUAUAAUUCUGCUAUAUUAUAAAGUUCAACAAUUAGUUGUUCUGUUAAGUGAUGGUGACAUAUCAAAAACAUUAUUAAGGAUAAUUACUAUAUAAGGAUUAGAUAGUAUAAAAUUAUGAAAAUUGAAAUUUUACUAGUGCAUUUCACCAAACCAUAGGGAUUAUAUAGUAAUUACCUUUAGGAGCACUUUUAACAUUUAACAGUCAGAUAUCAAAAAAACUAAAUGUUAAAUUUUAUAGUAUAAUCGAAUUAUAAUGCAGGGACUAAAUAGUGUAAUAAUGAAAAUUGAGGUCCCUAUUAAUGUAUUUAGCAAAAUUUAAAAACUACAUAGUAAUUAUCUCAUUUGAAAAUUUUAAUAAAUAAAAAGAUUUAAACUUGAUAUCUUUGUAUAGGAAUAUAAAAUUAUUUUUUCAAUCUUAAACAUUUAUUUUGUUUGGUGAUGAUUUUAGCUUAUAAAAUUUGUAAUCACACGUAUGAGAUUGGAAUAAAAUCAAAUGGACUUCAACCCUAAUUUAAUUUUUGUUAAAUAGAUAUUUAAAAGAGUGACCUCAUUUUCAACAUCUAAAUGUGAACAUCUAAUAUAUAAUUAACACAUGGCAAACAUUGAAAGUUAAAAAACUUAAAAGUACUUUUUUUCCCUCCAUUAAUGCAUCGGAAUCACAAUCUUCCGAAUUGAAAGUACUAACAGGAUACACGCGGAAAGACCUUUCUGGAUUUCUGGAUUAGGUACAAAUAUGUAAUAACAAUUUAGUUGAGAUUAUUCAUGUUGACUCCAAGUCAACCCCACUAGGUCUCUUUAAUGGUUACCUGCAAGCCCAUUUUACUAUGUCUAAUCUCACUUGGGCUGUGUCAAGUCCAUAAGAGAGAAACGUCCCAUUGAAAAUUUUCUGCGUUCAUGAAUAUAAACACUCAUAUCCGUUUUUUUAAAAACCUAAGUCAUUUUCAUUCAGACUAAUUUUAUUAAUUUUAGUAGUAUUAAUUGACUUUUAUUUGGUAUGGAUUGACCUGGUCCGAGAAUAAUAAAAACUCAAAAGGUGAGCAGAGAGUACUUAAGGAUACAUGUAACUGUAAAUACUCAUCAGUUUAAAUCAGUAAGAAAAUAAUAGAGAAUUAAUGAAAUAAUCUAAGGAUUCACGGUGUUUAUCUAAAUUGAUGACUUGAAUCAAUAGAAUAAUCAAAUCAUUAUGUGAAUAGGAUUUUAAAAUAUCCAUGAACAAUCUAAUAAUCAUAUUGUUAAUUAAUUUUUUUUUUUAGGAUAAUCUAGAGGUGUAACUUUUUUGGACCGUAAAACGUAAAUGUUUUUAGACUUUUCAAUAAAAUUCGCUUCCUAAAAAUCGAAUUUUACUCUUCGGAAGAUUGAGAUCACUUAUCUACCGCCCCAAUCCACGUCUUGUUAAUUAUUAACUGAUAUUUUAGUUCAACAAUACUAAUAAUUAACAUUUGAUAAAUAGACACAUGGAUUAAAAAUUACAAACUAAAGAGCAUAUAGAAUUUUUAUAGAAAGAACAUAUAUAGAAGAAAAAACAUUUCCUAUGAUUCAUGAGAAGAUUUUAUGAGAUACACAUGACAUAUCUUCUCCUCAAAAUGACAUAACACAAAGUGAUCUUUGUAGGAUGUCAUCUCAAUUUCAUCAUCAAAGCAAUCAAGUCCCUUUAAAUUAAUUUAAGGCUAACUUUUCAACAAUCAAUAAGAUGUUUUCAUCAUCAGAAAGAUAGAGGGCCGAUAAUAAUAAUAGUUUGAACAUGGCCCAGUAAAACUCCAUAAAUCAUUUGUUAAAAGAAAUUUAGACCAAUGGAGAAAGAAAGCUAAAUAAGACCAAAGACUCGUUGCUUCAUUGCGCUUAACUUUUUUCCAUUAUAUUAUAAUUUCUUUCAUCAACCAAAAAGUAAUUUAAUAAUUGAGAUUUUUUUUAAUAAAAGUGAUAAGUGUUAUUUUUAUAGUAUUUUUAAUAUAGUUUUUAUUAGGACUUUUAGUAUUUUAUUAAUUACUUUAAUUAGUUUUUAUUUAGUUUUAUUUAUGUUUUUAUGUAAAGCUUCCUUGAAUCAUAUUUUAUUUGAUCUUGAGAAAUUUUGCAAGAUUUUUAUAGAAAAUCAGCUUAUUUUCUAUCUAGGCGCUGGAAGAGUCCUAAUUGAGAAAAAAUACAAAGCCUAACCAGUUUCUUAUCUCCAAAAGGAUUUUUUACUCAAUAAAGAUUCACUUUUCUAAACGAACACAAAGAUACUCCAUAAACUUUAUAUAAAUAGAGAGAUUAGCCAUAGACAAAGGGAGCCAUUCAUUGUAUAUUCCAUCUUUUUGUUCUAUUGUUUUCUCUCUCUCUCCAAGACUUGCAUUCAAGAUUUGUGUGAAGAUUCAAGGAAGCCGUCCACAUUAUUUGUUGACUAGUUUUUAUCUCUAAACUCUUAAUCUUAUUUUUACUUUUCAUCAUUCAUAUUGAUUAUAGAAUUAUUAUCAAGUUUAAUUGAGUUUUAUUUAAUUACUAUGUCGAACUAAACUUUCAUACUAGGGAUUUGAUGUAGUUUAAUUUCGAUUCCAAUUUAUAAUAUUAGAUUUGCUUUUCCUUGUUCAUGAUAUAAUUUAUUAUUGAACUUAAUGCUUCCAGACAGAGUUUCUUCCCUGGAUUGAUUUAUUUCAUUAAUCACUAUAGGGAGAAGGGUUUUUGAUAUCAAAAAUGUAAUAAAUUACAUAAGAAUAAUAACUUGAUGCGGAAGCUAUAUGGUUUGACUCAUGAAGAGUUUUCAUAAGUUAAUGACCUUAGGUUAUGAAUUCACAAAACAAACCAUAAAACUUAAUGAUUUAAUUCAUCUUUGAUUGCGUUAUUAGAAGAUAGGUAAUUAGACCAGGUUAAAAUACUAACAAUACAUCGGAAGAGAGCUUAUUAUUGAUUUUAGGGUUGUUUCCCCUACUUGAACAAUUAAAAUUGAUUAUCAAACUAAUAAAAUAAAUUAUAUAGAAUUAAAUGAAGUCAAAAUCCCUAGUAUGCCUUGCUUGAUUUCCUUUUGUUCUAUUUUAUUUGUUUAAUUUAAUUUCUUAAAAUAAUUUUCCUUAUUACCGUUUAAAUAAUAAUAGUUUAACAUGAUUUUAGUACUUGGUAUACAGUUCCUGUGGAUACGAUACUCUACUCAUUCUAUAUUACUUGUUGCGAUUUCGUACAUUUGCGAAAAUUACCGUAAAAAAGUUACCUCAUUCGAGAAUUUUCUUAGUAGCAACAAAAUAUGUAGUUGUUAACGUAUUAAUGACACACGUUCAGAGGCAUAAAGUAAGGAUUUAUGAAGAAUGGGAAGAUUGUUCUGAGUGUUCUAUGAAUUUUGAUUUUUCAUUUCUGGUUCAACAGAGUAACAACAGGAGAUUGUUUAUUUUCUGAGCUCAACGGGAAGAGGAAAGUUCACCUACAACAUUUAAAAGAGAAAACUUCAAACAAAAUGAUUACAACAUACAAAGGAUAGCAUCUUUAACAGAUUCAAUUAUGAAAACCCGUAAAUCCUUUGUUUUGCUCUGUUUUUAUAAGAUUACAUGAUGGAAUAGGCAAAGGAGUCAGGGUAUUGAUAGUACUGAGGAACUGCAUAAACAUAUUGAUUACUGCCCAUGUAAGGCCAUACUAAUUGCUGCACUUCUGCCUCCUCUUUCUUCUCUCCGACAGAGCUCACGCUUAGAAGCUCUGAAUACCCAACUUGCUUUCGUAGCAGAGUAGUAAGCUUUACAGAAUCAAC